rnacentral:misc_RNA from 1 species
UUAAGUUCAGCGGGUAGUCUCACCCGAUUUGAGGUCAAGGUUCGUUCGUGGGUCAAGCCUCCCGCAGACGAAUCGGCGGUGACCGGAACACCAUCAUUGUCAAUGAGACGGUUAGAAGCGGGCGACGGUGCCACAAACCCAAGACGUAGAAACAUCUUAUCACGUCAAGGAUCGGCAAAGCGGACCCCACUAAUCCAUUU